AUGUGCACGGGGAAGUACGGCGACGUGCCGCGGAUGCCCGUGUUCCCGCCGGGGAAGGGGCCGGAGGUGUUCAAGGGGACGGUGAUGCACUCGCUGGACUACUGCAAGCUGAGCGAAGAGGAGACCGUUGAACUGAUGCGAGGCAAGAAGGCUGUGGUGGUUGGGUACAAGAAGAGCGCUAUUGAUCUAGCCAACGAAUGUGCCCAGGCAAACCAAGGCGAGGGUGGGCAGGCGUGCACGAUGCUGGUACGGACCCUGCACUGGGUGGUGCCAUCCUACUCCAUCUGGGGCUUGCCAUUCUCCAUGUUCUACUCAACACGCUUGUCUCAGCUCUUCUACGAGCGGCCCAACCAAGGAUUCCUCCGAUCCCUCCUCUGCCGCCUCAUGAGCCCACUGAGGGCAGGGGUGUCAAAGUUCAUCGAGUCGUACCUGUCAUGGAAGCUGCCGCUGGGAAAGUACGGGCUGACGCCAGACCACCCCUUCGUCGAGGACUACGCCAGCUGCCAGAUGGCCAUCCUCCCGGAAGGCUUCUUCGACAUGGCGGACCGCGGCCUUGUCCGCUUCAAGAGGGCCUCCGCGGGCUGGUGCUUCUCCGAGAACGGCGUAGUCCUCGACAACGGCACCAAGGUGGAGGCGGACCUUGUCUUCCUCGCCACUGGCUUUGAGGGCAAGGACAAGCUCCACGAGGUCCUGCCAAAGCCCUUCCGCGACCUCGUCGUCGGCAAGUCUUCCAUGAUGCCGCUCUACCGUGGCACGAUCCACCCGCUGAUCCCCAACAUGGCGUUCGUCGGGUUCGUGGAGAGCGUGUCCAACCUGCACACGUCGGAGCUGCGGUGCCGGUGGCUGUCGGGGCUGUUGGAGGGGCGGUUCGAGCUGCCGGACGUGAAGGCCAUGAUGGGGCACGUCGCCGGCGAGGCCGACGCCAUGCGCCGCACCACGCGGUUCUACCGCCGCCACUGCAUCUCCACCUACAGUAUCCACGACAGCGACGGCAUGUGCGCCGACCUGGGCUCCGCCACGCUCCGCAAGGCCAAUUGGAUCGCCGAGCUUUUCGCUCCAUACAAUAACAAGGACUACAAGGAACAGUAA
rnacentral:rRNA from 1 species